ensembl:misc_RNA Metazoa_SRP Metazoan signal recognition particle RNA
GCCAGGCAUGGUGGCUCAUGCCUGUAAUCCCAGCAUUUUGGGAGGCUGAGGCGGGUGGAUCACCUGAGGUCAGGAGUUUGAGACUAGCCUGACCAACAUGGAGAAAUCCUGUCUCUA